rnacentral:rRNA from 1 species
AUUGAACGCUGGCGGCAGGCCUAACACAUGCAAGUCGAACGAGUGGCGGACGGGUGAGUAAUGUCUGGGAAACUGCCUGAUGGAGGGGGAUAACUACUGGAAACGGUAGCUAAUACCGCAUACCAUCGGAUGUGCCCAGAUGGGAUUAGCUAGUAGGUGGGGUAAAGGCUCACCUCGGCGACGAUCCCUAGCUGGUCUGAGAGGAUGACCAGCCAUGCGGGAACUGAGAAAAGGGCCAGACUCCUACGGGAGGCAGCAGUGGGGAAUAUUGCACAAUGGGCGCAAGCCUGAUGGAGCCAUGCGGCGUGUAUGAAGAAGGCCUUCGGGUUGUAAAGUACUUUCAGCGGGGAGGCGUUACCCGCAGAAGAAGCACCGGCUAACUCCGUGCCAGCAGCCGCGGUAAUUC